GAGAUUUAUCCUGGCUCAGGAUAACGCUGGCGGCGUGCUUAACACAUGCAAGUCGAACGAUGACCCCAGCUUGCUGGGGGAUUAGUGGCGAACGGGUGAGUAACACGUGAGUAACCUGCCCCCGACUCUGGGAUAAGCCCGGGAAACUGGGUCUAAUACCGGAUAUUCUCCUUCCGCCGCAUGGCGGGGGGUGGAAAGCGGUUUAGCGGUCGGGGAUGGACUCGCGGCCUAUCAGCUUGUUGGCGGGGUAACGGCCCACCAAGGCGACGACGGGUAGCCGGCCUGAGAGGGUGACCGGCCACACUGGGACUGAGACACGGCCCAGACUCCUACGGGAGGCAGCAGUGGGGAAUAUUGCACAAUGGGCGAAAGCCUGAUGCAGCGACGCCGCGUGAGGGAUGACGGCCUUCGGGUUGUAAACCUCUUUCAGUAGGGAAGAAGCGAAAGUGCGGUACCUGCAGAAGAGCG
rnacentral:rRNA from 1 species